UGGGGUUCCUUCACAUGGUGCUGUCAGGAGAGGUCAUACUCUGAGUGAUGAGAAAGCUUGAAAAUUUACAUGGCCAAAGGGCAAAAAGUUUCUUCUGUCUCUACACUGUGCCACAGCCAUCAUUCUGUGAGCUAGCGCUGACUGUUGAGGGUGUCUUUCAGAAAUUGUCAGAAUUGGGUGUUGAUGGACACUUAUCCUUGCACAGUUUUGUUAGAAAAAUGCCAAAUGUACAAAAUGUACAAAAGUACAAAGUGAAUCCAGACCAGUACAUAGCAGUGAUGGUUGUGUGACAAUGCAGUAGGACAACGUGCUCAAGUGGGGAAAUCUUCACCCAGACAUUGUAAGGGCUCCUUAGAAGCCCAGGGGUGUCAGCUGCUCCAUCCUUUGGCUGCUGACAGAAGAGACCUCGUGCUAAGUGCAAAUUCCAUGGAAGGAGACAGCACCAGCAGAAAUACACACUAAGAGAAAAUACUGGAGAAAAGGCAGGUGUGUGGAAUGAAGCCUUGAGUAGCUGCCAGAAAGCUGAUCUAUGUAUUUAAUCACCUGGAGGAGUCCCAGAGCCUGUGUGGCUCAGGGAGGGUCCCCCGAGAUGGAAGCAUUGCUGUGCCUAUGUCCUCACACUGGAGGGGAAUUGUGGGGAUUCCAGUGUGGAAUGGCCACCAGCUGGAACAGUGACCCUGUCUGUGCUGUCUUCUAGAGGAGCAUGGAGGCUUGAAGGUGGAUGAUGAAGAUCCAGCCACUGAGCACUGGACUUAUUUUUCCUGGAUGUUUUUGUACCUGAAGUAGAAUUAUGAGAGCAAGAAUCUCUUCAUUUGGGAGAGUCUGUGAUCAGUCAGAUGCUUCCAGAGUUUUUGCAUUAAUAUACAAAGUGGAAAUCCAAUAAUAAUAAUCUUGGCUGCUUUCUUGACAUGGUGUUUUCUGACUUCUUUGCUGUGUUGUAUUUCCAUUGACUUGUAGAAGGCAAGGCUGUCUGUGUUAGGGAGAUGAUGCAGAGUCAAAUGUGCAAGUGUGUCCUUUGUAUUGAAGAAUUGAUGAUUAUACUCCAGCCACCCCACCCUGCAGCUCAAAUCAGCCACUCAUGUAGCAGCAGCAAACAGAGGGAUAUUUAAGUUGCCUUGAAUCACUAAGAAAUAAACCCUAUUUCAGUCCCUAUCUGCAGAUAAUUCUGUGUAUUUUUCCCUUUUUGUGAGAGGUGGAAGGGGCAGCACAGUUAAAGAAAUGUUGGGGUUCAGUAGUCCAGUGUCUUGUUGCAGGACAGAACGUGAAAAUUGCAGCAGCAUCUUAAUUCAAGGUGUCAGUGAUUAAGUUCCUGUCAGGAAAGCUAUUUUGAGGAUGCAGCAGAUUCAUCUUCCAGGACUUGCAGAGUUCAUGGCUCAGCUCACAUUUAAUGAACAGCAAACUUUGUGGUCAACACUGUAGGCUCUGAAUCUUUUCAAAUCUUCUACCUUGUUCGGAGAUUUAGCAGGACAAAACUCUCCCUGAAUAAUUUUGAGCCACCUCCCUUGAAUGUUCAGUGGAGGAAGAGAAACAGCAGCUAAAACCUGACCUUGUUUAGAAGAACUCUAAUUAUUUAUGUCCUUUUUAUGGACUGCUGCUGCCAACAGCUUUUGCUCACUUUGCGGUUGUGGGUCGCAGUGCCUGCUGCUGCUGUGUGUUCAGCUGGGCUAACACCACAUGCCAUAUUCCAUGAAUAAAUUCCCUUGAUCAGAAA